GACGAACGCUGGCGGCGUGCUUAACACAUGCAAGUCGAACGCAGUGGCGAACGGGUGAGUAAUACGUGAUUAACCUGCCCUCCUCUUUGGGAUAAGCCUUGGAAACGGGGUCUAAUACCUAAUAAAGGGGGUUGGGCUCGUGGCCUAUCAGCUGGUUGGUGGGGUGAUGGCCUACCAAGGGGGUGACGGGUACCCGGCCUGGGUGGGUGACCGGGGGCAUUGGGACUGGGAUACGGCCCAGAGGCCGACGGGAGGCAGCAGUGGGGGGUAAUGGACGAUGGGCGAAAGCAUGAUGCAGCGACGCCGCGUGGGGGAUGAAGGAUUUCGGGUUGUAAACCUCUGUCGCUAUCGAAGGGGUAGGUGGAGAAGAAGCGCCGGCUAACUACGUGCCAGCAGCCGCGGUAAUUC
rnacentral:rRNA from 1 species